UACGGGGGGGGCAAGCGUUGUUCGGAAUUACUGGGCGUAAAGGGCUCGUAGGCGGCCAACUAAGUCGGACGUGAAAUCCCUCGGCUUAACCGGGGAACGGCGUCCGAUACUGGAUGGCUUGAGUUUGGGAGAGGGAUGCGGAAUUCCAGGUGUAGCGGUGAAAUGCGUAGAUAUCAGGAGGAACACCGAUGGCGAAGGCAGGUCUCUGGGCCACUACUGACGCUGAGAAGCGAAAGCAUGGGGAGCGAACAGG
rnacentral:rRNA from 1 species